rnacentral:rRNA from 1 species
GACGAACGCUGGCGGCGUGCUUAACACAUGCAAGUCGAGCGGUAAGGCCCUUUCGGGGGUACACGAGCGGCGAACGGGUGAGUAACACGUGGGUGACCUGCCCUCAGCUCUGGGAUAAGCCUGGGAAACUGGGUCUAAUACCGGAUAUGACUCCAUGACGCAUGUUGUGGGGUGGAAAGCCUUGUGCGGCUGAGGAUGGGCCCGCGGCCUAUCAGCUUGUUGUGGGGUGANGGCCUACCAAGGCGACGACGGGUAGCCGGCCUGAGAGGGCGACCGGCCACACUGGGACUGAGACACGGCCCAGACUCCUACGGGAGGCAGCAGUGGGGAAUCUUGCGCAAUGGGCGAAAGCCUGACGCAGCGACGCCGCGUGAGGGAUGACGGCCUCGGUUGUAAC